rnacentral:rRNA from 1 species
AUCUAACUCCUGCCCCGGUGCAUUGCGUUGGGGCGGUGAGCUUGUUCAAUAUGUCAUAACGACUCCCGGCAACGGAUAUCUCGGCUCUCGCAUCGAUGAAGAACGUAGCGAAAUGCGAUACAUGGUGUGAAUUGCAGGAUCCCGUGAACCAUCGAGUUUUUGAACGCAAGUUGCGCCCGAAGCCGUUAGGCCGAGGGCACGUCUGCCUGGGCGUCACGCA